rnacentral:rRNA from 1 species
AUUGAACGCUGGCGGCAUGCCUUACACAUGCAAGUCGAACGGCAGCGCGGACUUCGGUCUGGCGGCGAGUGGCGAACGGGUGAGUAAUACAUCGGAACGUACCCUGUUGUGGGGGAUAACCAGUCGAAAGAUUAGCUAAUACCGCAUACGACCUGAGGAUGAAAGUGGGGGACCGCAAGGCCUCACGCAGCAGGAGCGGCCGAUGUCUGAUUAGCUAGUUGGUGGGGUAAAGGCCCACCAAGGCGACGAUCAGUAGCUGGUCUGAGAGGACGAUCAGCCACACUGGGACUGAGACACGGCCCAGACUCCUACGGGAGGCAGCAGUGGGGAAUUUUGGACAAUGGGGGCAACCCUGAUCCAGCAAUGCCGCGUGUGUGAAGAAGGCCUUCGGGUUGUAAAGCACUUUUGUCCGGAAAGAAAUCGCGCUGGUUAAUACCUGGCGUGGAUGACGGUACCGGAAGAAUAAGCACCGGCUAACUACGUGCCAGCCGCCGCAGUAA